CAGGAUGCCAACGGGACACAAGUGGGUUCAUCUGAAAAGGGUGACAGGGUUGCUUACAUCAAAAUGGAUAGGACUGCAGGACUGUUACCAUUUAGGAGAGUUGAUAAAGACAGAAGUUACAGUUACAGCACUAAAGGCAGAAAGGCUAGAGAGGAUGGUGCAUUUAAAAUCCUAAAGCUGCAGAUUCCAUGAAAAAUAUUGGGAAAUGCAAAGUAUGGAAUGGGAUGGUGUUUCAGAACAGCCUGUGGUGUUGGUGUGGACUGUGUACUACACACACACGUACACACAUAAAUAUGAAUUAAAAAUGUAUACAUAUUAUGUGUAGUGUUGCAAAGAUUAACAACUUUACUCAGUUCCGGUGUGCUUUGCUUUUGUGGUAUUUAGAAUCCGUUAUGGAUCAAGCUGAGGAGUUAACGGCUUCACUCUUGCUUGGAAGAGGAACAAGGCCAGAACUUUCUUACAUCAUCCUUCAGCUUAACACUGAUCAGAAACACUCUUCUUGCUUAAGACCAAAUUCCUCAGCUUUGAAUAUAUUUUUGUCAGGAAGGGAGGAGGAAGGAACCUUUGCACUCACCAAAAAGCAAGGUUUUAGAGGUGAAAAAUGUU